CGAACUGUGAGAUCAUGACCCAAGCCGAAGUCGGACGCUCAGCCGACUGAGCCACCCAGGUGCCCCCUGCUUUUGGCCUGUGUUUUAAAUUUGCACUUCCCCAGUGACUAUUGAGGUUCCGUGUCUUCUCACCUGCUUGAGCUACACGCAGCCACUCUUCUGAGAUUCUUGUUGCCCCAUUUUCACAUAGCUGGUGUUUUGCUGACCGAUUUCCAGAAGUUCUUUGUAUGUUACGGACACCAACCCUUUGCUGGUAGUGUGCCGUGGCAGAUGAUGGCUUACCUCUUCCGUUUCUUUGUGUUUGCAGAAAAUUUAAAUGUGAAUGUAGUUCUGUUUACCAUCGUUUAAUGGUUACUACUUUUGGGGCUUUGUUUUUCAAAAAGCCUAAUGUAACCCAAGAUUAGAAACUUAUUAUUCAAUGUGUUCUUCCAAAAGUUUUAAGGUUUUGCAUUUCAUAUUUAAAUCCUUAGCCAAUCUGAAAUUGAUUUUUGUGGUUGGAGUGCGGAGGGAUCAAAUUUCACUUUUCCACAUACACAAACAAUUAUCGCGCUGUUAUUUAUGUUGAAGAUGCCCGUCUUUACCCGCUUACCGGCAACGCGGUCUCUAACAUAAAUCACCGUUCCAUACAUGAGUUCUCCCCUGAAGUCUCUAUUCUGUUCCAUUUGCAUGUCUGCCUGUAACUACCCGGUAACACAGGUAAGUCACUAUAACUGUAUAAUAGGGCUUGGUGUGCGACAGGGCGAUUUUCCACUUUACUUUUCUUUUUCAGGAAUGCUGUGGCUCUUCUUGGCUGGGCCUUUACUCAUCCAGGAAAACUAGUGUUGCACAAAGACGCCUCACAGAAAAGGAUGAAGGUGAAACCCCAUGCAGAGUCGUUACAAGAAAAAAAAAGAGGAUAAAAAAUAAUCCUGGGUCAGCCUCCAGCAAAUGCCAUCUCUGAAAAGAUAGGAAGCAAUCAGUGGUCUUCGGUCCCAAAGCACGCGUCUCCUCACACACGCUUCGCACUCCCUGGGUUAAUGUCACCUGCUCUCCGUUAUCCGUACUUCAAAGGACUGGGUCACUGCUGCUGGUGCUGGGAACUUGCGUGAACCUCGGCCCAGGCGGCACAACCAUUAGAGUGACUGUGGCUUCUUUCGUGACUGCGGACGGAGGCCACUCACAGCCACUCUGCCACCGCGCUGACUCUGAGCCCUCGUGUUCUACCAGACGCCUCUUAAUAAAAUUAAUAAAUGACUUAAGGCAUAAAUAAUAAAAUUUAAUAAAA